GGGCGUAGAGGGCUCGCAGGCGGUUUCUUAAGUCUGAUGUGAAAGCCCCCGGCUCAACCGGGGAGGGUCAUUGGAAACUGGGAAACUUGAGUGCAGAAGAGGAGAGUGGAAUUCCACGUGUAGCGGUGAAAUGCGUAGAGAUGUGGAGGAACACCAGUGGCGAAGGCGACUCUCUGGUCUGUAACUGACGCUGAGGAGCGAAAGCGUGGGGAGCGAACAGGAUUAGAUACCCUGGUAGUCCACGCCGUAAACGAUGAGUGCUAAGUGUUAGGGGGUUUCCGCCCCUUAGUGCUGCAGCUAACGCAUUAAGCACUCCGCCUGGGGAGUACGGUCGCAAGACUGAAACUCAAAGGAAUUGACGGGGGCCCGCACAAGCGGUGGAGCAUGUGGUUUAAUUCGAAGCAACGCGAAGAACCUUACCAGGUCUUGACAUCCUGUGACAACCCUAGAGAUAGGGCUUUCCCUUCGGGGACAGAGUGACAGGUGGUGCAUGGUUGUCGUCAGCUCGUGUCGUGAGAUGUUGGGUUAAGUCCCGCAACGAGCGCAACCCUUGAUCUUAGUUGCCAGCAUUCAGUUGGGCACUCUAAGGUGACUGCCGGUGACAAACCGGAGGAAGGUGGGGAUGACGUCAAAUCAUCAUGCCCCUUAUGACCUGGGCUACACACGUGCUACAAUGGACAGAACAAAGGGCUGCAAGACCGCAAGGUUUAGCCAAUCCCAUAAAUCUGUUCUCAGUUCGGAUCGCAGUCUGCAACUCGACUGCGUGAAGCUGGAAUCGCUAGUAAUCG
rnacentral:rRNA from 1 species